CCAGGGCCUUGUGGAGCACCUGUCGCUCGUGCUCCCGCUUCUCAGCUAGCUGCUUCAGCACCAGGGCCUCCUGAGACUGCAGAGAGAGACGAGGGAGAGAGAUGCUUCCAGCCUCUUCUGGAGCUCGUCCGGGGAGAGGUCCUUCUUGGGAGCAGAAAGCAGGGGCUGGGGCCUGUCCGGAGAGAGGUCAGCAGGGGCCUUCAGGAUGAUCUCGAAGGCCUGGCCGGAUGCCCGCUUGUUCAGGGACUUCACCUCCAUGUCUGUGGAGAACAGCAGGUGGGUUAGGUUCCCUCCACUCUAAAUGGAAAUGGAUGAAGCUUGCCAGAAAAAAACGUUCAGCCAAAUUACUAGGGAGGCCGUCAGUCAACUUACUAAGGAGGCCGUGCAGACAAGUUACUAAGGAGGCCGUUCAGUCAACUUACUAAGGAGGCCGUUCAGUCAACUUACUAAGGAGGCCGUGCAGACAAGUUACUAAGGAGGCCGUUCAGUCAACUUACUAAGGAGGCCUUUCAGUCAAGUUACUGGGAGCACUGCCACAAAAACAGCCCAAGCUGCCAGUAGCAUCUCCACUGAACCCUGUGCCUCGUGUAAAUAAUAUAUAAUUAUAACAAGUGUUUAUUCACAACCGCAGAGAAUUAUAUUUUGUUUCACCUCUUGACACCUCUUGCACACACACACACACACAAUAUCAUACGCACUAUAUACACACACACACACACACACAAUAUCAUACACACUAUACACACUAUACACACACACACACACACACACACACACACACA